rnacentral:rRNA from 1 species
GACGAACGCUGGCGGCGUGCUUAACACAUGCAAGUCGAACGAUGAAGCCGGAGCUUGCUCCGGUGGAUUAGUGGCGAACGGGUGAGUAACACGUGAGCAAUCUGCCCUUGACUCUGGGAUAACUGCGGGAAACUGUAGCUAAUACCGGAUACGACACCUUGGGGCAUCCCAGGGUGUGGAAAGAAUUUCGGUCAAGGAUGAGCUCGCGGCCUAUCAGCUAGUUGGUGAGGUAAUGGCUCACCAAGGCGACGACGGGUAGCCGGCCUGAGAGGGGGACCGGCCAAACUGGAACUGAGACACGGUCCAGACUCCUACGGGAGGCAGCAGUGGGGAAUAUUGCACAAUGGGCGAAAGCCUGAUGCAGCAACGCCGCGUGAGGGAUGAAGGCCUUCGGGUUGUAAACCUCUUUUAGCAGGGGAGAAGCGAAAGUGACGGUGCCUGCAGAAAAAGCACCGGCUAACUACGUGCCAGCCGCCGCCGUAA